rnacentral:rRNA from 1 species
AACGCGAAGAACCUUACCCAGACUUGACAUACAGUAGACAGUCGCAGAAAUGCGAUCUUCCUUCGGGACUGCUGAACAGGUGCUGCAUGGCUGUCGUCAGCUCGUGCCGUGAGGUGUUGGGUUAAGUCCCGCAACGAGCGCAACCCUUAUCAUUAGUUGCCAACAUUUAAGGUGGGAACUCUAAUGAGACUGCCUGGGUUAACCAGGAGGAAGGUGAGGAUGACGUCAAGUCCGCAUGGCCCUUAUGUCUGGGGCUACACACGUGCUACAAUGGUCGGUACAAAAGGCAGCGAAACCGCGAGGUGAAGCAAAUCCCGAAAGCCGGCCCCAGUUCAGAUUGUAGUCUGCAACUCGACUACAUGAAGACGGAAUUGCUAGUAAUGGCGAGUCAGCAACAUCGCCGUGAAUACGUUCCCGGGCCUUGUACACACCGCGAGC